rnacentral:rRNA from 1 species
AUUGAACGCUGGCGGCAGGCUUAACACAUGCAAGUCGAGCGGGGUGAUGGUGCUUGCACUAUCACUUAGCGGCGGACGGGUGAGUAAUGCUUAGGAAUCUGCCUAUUAGUGGGGGACAACAUCUCGAAAGGGAUGCUAAUACCGCAUACGUCCUACGGGAGAAAGCAGGGGAUCACUUGUGUCCUUGCGCUAAUAGAUGAGCCUAAGUCGGAUUAGCUAGUUGGUGGGGUAAAGGCCUACCAAGGCGACGAUCUGUAGCGGGUCUGAGAGGAUGAUCCGCCACACUGGGACUGAGACACGGCCCAGACUCCUACGGGAGGCAGCAGUGGGGAAUAUUGGACAAUGGGGGGAACCCUGAUCCAGCCAUGCCGCGUGUGUGAAGAAGGCCUUAUGGUUGUAAAGCACUUUAAGCGAGGAGGAGGCUCUUUUGGUUAAUACCCAAGAUGAGUGGACGUUACUCGCAGAAUGAGCACCGGCUAACUCUGUGCCAGCCGCCGCGGUAA